rnacentral:tRNA from 1 species
GGGGGAGUGUCGGAACAGGUAGACGAUACGGACUCAAAAUCCGUUGCCCGCAAGGGCGUAGGGGUUCGAGUCCCCUCUCCCCUACCA